GUUACAAAGGCGGUUUUAUAAAAAUCGUCUUCGUAUGUUUACAGCUUACUACGGUUUUCUUUUAACCACCGUCGUUGAAAUUUUGGUAUUUAAAUCGCAAUUUUAUCCUUUCUUUUUGCACGCGCGCUGCAGACUCGAUCAUCUUCCUGCUUGAGUCAUACCUCCUUCACUCCUUCACUCCGCCACAAGCUUCACUCCACCGUAACCUUGCCUGUGUAAGUCUCCAUAGCCAGGCACAACUUUGUUGUUCUUCACGCUGACAGUCGUGCGGGGCAUAAUAUAUCAGGAAAGGAUCACCGUGUUCAUUGUUCCAUAAAUAUCAACACAGAGACUGGACGUUUGUCAGCAAGAAGGCCAAAUCUGCAGGUUCUUCAAACUUGCAAGACUUCUUUAGCUGUUGGUUUACUUGAAAUUUUUUAAAAGCCAUAUUUUUCAUUCCUUUGUCUGUAUAUAUUUAUUUAUUAUUUAUUGAUGAUGGUUUGAUUUCAUCUUUUUAUGUUUGUAAGAUAUAAAGCCAUUUAUGUGCCUUCACUUAAUACCUUAUGCUUUUAGGAGAAUUGGUUCUUGAUAUGAUAUCAAAGCCUCUAUGACCAAGUAGUCAGGAGUUUCAUCAUUGUUGCUCCCAUUCUUCUUAAAACAAUGUUUAGUUUUUAGCACAAAGUAUAUGGUUGACCUGUGCAUCGUCCAUGCUUCAAGCUCAAAGGACUUACUAUGACAAGCCAAGUUAAAUAUAAAAUGAUUCAUGUGCCCGGCCACAUAUAGUUUAAGUUUUUAGAAGAGUUGGUUCUUGCCAAUAUUAAAUUUUUAAUUUACUAAAAAGAUUUUAUAACAUUAGUUGUUGAAAUGAAAUAUUAGAGAGAAGAGUCGAAUUACUUCUUUUCUUUUCAAUCUGUUAAGUAGAGUUAGUUACUUUAGUUAACUCAACUAACAUUGACUUAGUUGACAGUUGUUCUGACAGCUGUACAUAGCUGUCCUAACUCUAAUAUAAAUACUAGAGGUAUAACUUCUUUUCAGUUGUGUUGUUAAUAGAACAACUCAUUUAUUGAUAAAAGAUUAAAUCUGGACAACUAGUAGUGAUAUGCAAAAAAAUGUUAUUUAAGCUUCUUGUUUGUGAUAAUAACAUGUGCCAAUAUUGUCUUUUGAUGCAAGUUUAGUUCAUGAGCUGUUUCUCACUGUAGUAAAAAAUCUUUUAUCCUCCCUAAGACUGUACAUUAUCUUAUUUUCUGUCCUUUGUUAUGAAUUAAUUAUUUUAAAAGCUUCACCUGGUAGGUGAAAAACGGUCUUGUACACGUGCCUCCUCACACAAUAGUCAUUAUACCCAAACUCAAUAUAUGUUAGAAGGAUGGGAAUGGCUUUAGCUUUCUACACUAACAAUAUUAUUGAAAAAGAAAAGGCAACUCAUUUGUUAUCUUUACAUUGAACUUUGAAUUAGAAGCAUUCACCACUUUCUUGACUGAAGUCUAAUUGGUCUUGAUACAGUCUCUCUUAAUUUUUUACAACUAUUUGAGCUCUAUGUUAGUCUAUGAGUUUAACUUAACUACUACUUUUAAUGAUCUAAUUUUAUUGGCGGAAAACAGGACUCCAUGUUGGUUACAAGGGUUGUCAAUUAAAAGUGAUUAAAGAUUUUGAUUCAAGUUGGUGAUAUGGUAAAGGUCUCGUUGUGGUGUGGUCUAUGUUUGACAUUAUUUGUUUGUGUAAACAUUCAUGAAAAUAAAUUAAUCUUAUAAUCU